GGCCACGCUACCUCGGUCACGGCUGCCAGGAUAGCGAUCGUCGUUCGAUGGGUCAUCGAUUCGCGCUUCUCCGCGAACGUACGUAUUCGAUAGGUCGCAUUCGGCCACUGGAAGUAAGUGGUGAGUAAGUGAUCCAUAUAUAGAAGCGCCCCCACAUUUUCACCAACACGGGCGCGCACCUGUCACGCAUAUAUACGCAGGGCGACCGCGGUGGAGCACACUUUUUGUGUGCCUGAGCUUGAGUCGGUGAAAAGCUGCUCUCGACGCCGCGCGACACGCCGUGGAAUUUGAGAGAGGAAGCCGCGGAGUUACGCAAAUCGCCUGGACGCCAUGCCCGGACGCCCACUUUGGCAGGUUGCCGGCAAGCGAGAAGCGAGCCAAGAAGCCGAAGCCCAGCAAUGGGUCGAAAUGGUCGUCGGCGAAAGAUUUCCACCAGGUUAGUGUAUGUAUGUGUGUGUAU